GCCACGCACUUCCCCAGCCCACCGCUAAGGCUGCGCGGCGCUGUUGAGCCACACGCCCCGAGCCAGUGAGCAAACAAUGUUUUCACACAUAAAAAAACUCCGCACCAAAAACGCUUCGCACAUCAACAUCGGCAUUGGAAUAAGAUGAAAAGUGACGAGUACUUUCUAAGGUCAAACACGGAGAGCUUUCCGACCAGCCACACUAGAUGAUGACGUUUGCGACCUUCUGUUUUUGUCAGUCAUGUGGAAAAAAAAAAAAAAAAAAGUCAAGUCGGCACACACGACAUUUUUUUUUCUAGAAACUUCCACCUUGUCGGCUUCUCGUCAACGACAUCCAAAAGCUGAGCUGCUCGGGAAUUUGAUUGCGUGUGUGAAAUCAUCUGAUGCCAGCAAACACUUCUCCACGACGGGCCUUUUUUCCACGGUACGACCGAGGUACUUACGCCUGUGACGUCCUUCCACGCAGUCCUGCACUUUUCCUCUUUCCAGCCGAGGUGGAAUCCUCAAGUGAGCGGUUGGGGGAAAAAAAAAAAAAAGAAAAGAAAAGAGGAAAAACGACGCAGCUAAGCUAAAGAACAUGAAGGCUAGCCCAGCUGCUGCUUCUUCUCCUCCUGCUUGAAAUGACUAAAGUACACAACGAGCAGGUGUCAUGGUGGCAAAAAACACAUGAUGUGCUCUCCAGCCGUAUGGAGAAAACGUGUUGGUGUGAAAGUGUCCAUAUCCUUGUCGCUGAGCGGCAGGUUGAAACUAUAGAGAGGUGGUCACUAAAAAGUGCUACUGUUGGGGGUUAACAACUUUGCCGAGGAGCCUUCUCAUUGGACGAGACUUUCCGCCAAUCAGGGGACGAGGGCUCCGGGAGCUGGUGACGUCACGAGCAGAGAGGGGCAACUUAAAGACGUGAUUGGACAAACACGGCACGGUUCGCUCGAGUCAUGGCCAGCUAGGCAAAUUAGACACAAUCCACCCACCACACAAAGAUUGCAGUCCUGGACAUGCAGUACCAGCUUGUGGACAGUGGGGUGCAGACCGGUCAGCAGCUUCCAUUAUGAAUUAGGCCCUAGACCUGAAAGAUGCUCAAGGGCCUGUUUGCGGCACUGAGAUGAUUUUUAAAAAGGUAAAUUAAACAAAAC